rnacentral:rRNA from 1 species
CGUGGGUAACCUGCCCAAGAGAUCGGGAUAACACCUGGAAACAGAUGCUAAUACCGGAUAACAACAGAUGAUGCCUAUCAACUGUUUAAAAGAUGGUUCUGCUAUCACUCUUGGAUGGACCUGCGGUGCAUUAGCUAGUUGGGUAGGGUAACGGCCUACCAAGGCGAUGAUGCAUAACCGAGUUGAGAGACUGAUCGGCCACAUUGGGACUGAGACACGGCCCAAACUCCUACGGGAGGCAGCAGA